CAGUCGCCGCGGUAAGACAGAAGAUGCAAGCGUUAUCCGGAAUGAUUGGGCGUAAAGCGUCUGUAGGUGGCUUUUCAAGUCCGCCGUCAAAUCCCAGGGCUCAACCCUGGACAGGCGGCGGAAACUACCAAGAUGGAGUACGGUAGGGGCAGAGGGAAUUUCCGGUGGAGCGAUGAAAUGCGUUGAGAUCGGAAAGAACGCCAACGGUGAAAGCACUCUGCUGGGCCGACACUGACACUGAGAGACGAAAGUUAGGGGAGAAAAUGGGAUUAGAGACCCCAGUAGUCCCUGUCUCUUAUAA
rnacentral:rRNA from 1 species